rnacentral:rRNA from 1 species
UACAGAGGGCGCGAGCGUUGUCCGGAAUCACUGGGCGUAAAGGGCGCGUAGGUGGCCACCAUAAGGCCGCGGUGAAAGUUCGGGGCUCAACCCCGGAUCGGCCGCGGCGACUGUGAGGCUUGGGUACUGUAGAGGCAGGUGGAAUUCCGGGUGUAGCGGUGGAAUGCGUAGAGAUCCGGAAGAACACCAGUGGCGAAGGCGGCCUGCUGGGCAGUGGGAUCGAAAGGUCCCUAUAACCGACACUGAGGC